GUCCAAAUUACUUUUAAAAUACUGGGUACUAGAUACUUUUUUUAGUAGUUAGGGGUGGGAAUUUAAACACAGCCCAAGUGUCACAGUUCAGACAUCAGCGCCCAUCUCCAACCACCAGAGGGAGCCCUCGCCAGAGUUCUGACUCCUUGUGCUCCUCACUACAACUCCCAUCAGCCACUGCCAUGGACUCCUUCCUGCUCAGCUGUUCAUCAUCAUAAUCAUGGUUGGUCACACAGCAUAUAAACCCACUCCAGCCUCCUCUCCAGUGUGAAGUCUUGUAUUACUGAGCAGGUGGAACCUUUGCUUGGGUUGCAGUGCCUUGACCCUGUCCUCCUUAUUGACCCUCUGCCUUGCUUUUGUGUUUUGACCCUUGCCUGGAUUCUGACAACGCUCAUGUCUUGCCCUUGCUCAUUAAAACCUCAGCCUCUUCAUCAUGCCAUGUGAUAUCUAGCUUCCUUUCAGCUACUUCCACCAGGGGGCACUGCAGCAAACUCCCCACAAAUGGUGUGGGUGAAGUAUUGCUGUAAAUGUCCUGAUCCAACCCUCUGGAGUUCCCUACACUUAGUACAUGAAACACUAAAGAGUUCCAACAUUGAGUGCCCUAGAAUCCUCUUAUCUGUGUAACUAUCUGUACCAUGUGAUCCAAACCCAACGCAGCUUUUCAGUUCAGAUGAGAUGGGAUGUGUUCAGCAUGGCACAGUCAGAUACAAACACCUAGAGUUGCAAUUCUUUUACCAACGUUGCCAAAAAGCACCAGCAGAUUGAUUGGUGACGUAUGCUUCUUCUGCAGAUGGAAGCUAAACAUGCAUGUGAGCUGAUGUGAAUCCAGCAGCAUGGAUCUGAGAGAGGACGGAGCCCCUCCCUCUAUUAAUGCUCUACGACAGAAGCGUGAGAGCCAGAGCAAAGCUCAGCGGUGAGCUGAACACCUUCCAACAGUCUGGGGCGUCUGAGCUCAGCACUCAGGUUUGACACCAACACUUCUGCUUUACAGGAACCAGCCCAGACUGGGAUCCAGCUCCAGUGGGUCCCUGAGAAGUGACCGUUCAAAGGAAGAUGGUCCUGACUUCAAAGGAAACACCAAGACGUCACCCAGGAGGAACCAGCCCAGACUGGGAUCCAGCUCCAGUGGGUCCCUGAGAAGUGACCGUUCAAAGGAAGAUGGUCCUGACUUCAAAGGAAACACCAAGACGUCACCCAGGAGGUACAUAGGUCCCUUUUUCUUUAAGUUUUCAGUUCAGCAGCACCAGCUUCAGUCUUUGAGCAGCAUUUGUAGUGUGUUUGAUUCUACAAGCCAUGA
rnacentral:lncRNA from 1 species